rnacentral:rRNA from 1 species
CCUACGGGGGACAGCAGUGAGGAAUAUUGGUCAAUGGGCGCGAGCCUGAACCAGCCAAGUAGCGUGAAGGAUGACUGCCCUACGGGUUGUAAACUUCUUUUAUAAAGGAAUAAAGUGCGGCACGUGUGCCUUUUUGUAUGUACUUUAUGAAUAAGGAUCGGCUAACUCCGUGCCAGCAGCCGCGGUAAUACGGAGGAUUCGAGCGUUAUCCGGAUUUAUUGGGUUUAAAGGGAGCGUAGAUGGGUUGUUAAGUCAGUGGUGAAAUUUUGCGGCUCAACCGUAAAAUUGCAAUUGAUACUGGCAGUCUUGAGUACAGUUGAGGUAGGCGGAAUGUGUGGUGUAGCGGUGAAAUGCAUAGAGAUCACGAAGAACUCCGAUUGCGAAGGCAGCUUACUAAACUGCCACUGACAUUGAUGCUCGAAAGUGUGGGUAUCAAACAGGAUUAGAUACCCUUGUAGUC